rnacentral:rRNA from 1 species
CGACGCCGCGUGAGCGAAGAAGUAUUUUCGGUAUGUAAAGCUUCUAUUCAGCAGGGAAGAUAAUGACGGUACCUGACUAAGAAAGCCCCGGCUAACUACGUGCCAGCAGCCGCGGUAAUACGUAUGGGGCAAGCGUUAUCCGGAUUUACCGGGUGUAAAGGGAGCGUAGACGGUGUGGCAAGUCUGAUGUGAAAGCCCGGGGCUCAACCCCGGGACUGCUUUGGAAACUGUCGUACUAGAGUGCCGGAGAGGUAAGCGGAAUUCCUAGUGUAGCGGUGAAAUGCGUAGAUAUUAGGAGGAACACCAGUGGCGAAGGCGGCUUACUGGACGGUAACUGACGCUGAGGCUCGAAAGCGUGGGGAGCAAACAGGAUUAGAUACCCUGGGUAGUCCACGCCGUAAACGAUGAAUACUAGGUGUCGGGAAGCAUAGCUUCUCGGUGCCCGCCGCAAACGCAAUAAGUAUUCCCACCUGGGGAGUACGUUCGCAAGAAUGAAAUAG